UCUCAGCCACAAGAAAUCUCAGUGCCCACAGCCAAAAGAUCCAAUCUUUUCCAACUCCUCCAAAUUCUGGACAACUCCAUUGCAAAGAAUUUUACAUUUUAAUAUUAGUAGUACUGGAGUAUUAGUAGUUUAGAUUAGAUAUAUGUGGCAAAAAUCAGCAUAAUCCUACGUGGCUAUAGCUCCCCUCUGGUCCGAUUUCUCUCAGUCGUCCUUCAUAUUUAUACACCUUUGAGUCUGCAACUGUUCCUCUCUUUUUUUUCUCUCUCUCUCUAACUGUUAUUAUACCAUACACAAAUUUGGGAGGUGGUGAUUUGAGUAGAAAAGCUCCAGUCUUUGUCUUUCUUGAAUCAGUUCUUGUUUUUGCUAUGGCUGCUGAAGUUAAGGUAUCGAUUGCAAAGAGGUCUAAGAGCACUCCCAAUGGUGCCGGCUAAAAGUCGGCGUUUUUUCGCCGUCUAUCACCGAGUUAUCGCCGACCAAUGGGAGAGGUCGGCGA